UACGAAGGGGGCUAGCGUUGUUCGGAAUUACUGGGCGUAAAGCGUGCGCAGGCGGUUUUGUAAGUCUGACGUGAAAUCCCCGGGCUCAACCUGGGAAUUGCGUUGGAGACUGCAAGGCUAGAAUCUGGCAGAGGGGGGUAGAAUUCCACGUGUAGCAGUGAAAUGCGUAGAGAUGUGGAGGAACACCGAUGGCGAAGGCAGCCCCCUGGGUCAAGAUUGACGCUCAUGCACGAAAGCGUGGGGAGCAAACAGG
rnacentral:rRNA from 1 species